UUCUUAUCCAGAGAAAUCGAGGGACAGGCCCUAUGACGUUUCGGCAGCAGAUUCGCAAAUCAGCGAAAACUGUGCUAAUUCCUGCAAAUGCUUCGGCAUUUGGAAGAUGAGAA
rnacentral:ncRNA from 1 species